rnacentral:lncRNA from 10 species
UCCUUGCCCUCCCCUCUGGUCCUUCCUCUCUCUCCUCUGGGGAUGCUUCAGUUUCUCUGUGAUAUGGACCCUGUGGCCAGCAGCAGCAUCAGGCCCGAGCCAGACUCUCAUUACCUCCAGUUUCAAACUCAGCCUCACGUCCUCUGGAACCGGCUUCCUGAAGCCUGGGACAGCCCCCAGAGGGCCCCUAGGCUCUGUGGACACCUGUGACAGCCCUGUCACCCAUCACACUCUGCCUUGCCUCUUGCGUGACUGGCUACCCUGGUUCUGUCCUGGUGCUCUCCGGCCCAGGAACAAGGCUGACGGCUCGUCACCCCUCAGCGUCCCCUGCAUUCACCGGCCCCUGCUUGCCUCCCCUCGAAGGUGCCACCCAGCCAGAGCCGUGUUGCUGUGGAUGCCCAUGAGGAAGGCUCCGAUGUCUGGGCAGGUGGUGUCCCACCGCACCUGCACUGGGCUGGGCUCCCUGCUGGGGUAGAGGGUGCUCUGGGUCGCUGUCGGUGCUGCCUGUCCUGUGGGACUGUGGUUCUGACCCCUUGAAGGAGGUAGCAGAACGCCCUAGAUGUGGCCUCGUUGAUGAGAGAGCCCACAGUCACUCCCAGCCCCAUCAGACACUGCCUGCCCCGCAUUCAGCCAUCCUUCCUCAUUAAGACCGGCCUGGCCUCCAACCCCUGCUCACCAGGCAACAGCCAGCUGAGAGUGAGGCGAUGCGCUGCAGCCCCGGGGAGGGGCCCAGCUGGGGCGGGGCGGAGAUGCAGUCGUCCUAGCAACCGGCAGAGGUGGACCCCGCAUUUCUGUGGCUCAUCACCCUGACUUCAUCCAGACUCCCUGUAUUUUAUCUCAUAGAUUUCUCAUUCUGAUGUCUGUCUCCCCUACUGACUGUAACCUCUUAAGGCUAUAGUUCAUGUAUUCAUUCAACUGGUAUUUACUGGGCACCAGCCAUGGGCUGUGCAGACGUCAGGGAAAUGGAUGGGGAGUGACCCCUCCUUCCUGCAGCGCAAACCAUCCUUUAAUAUGAAAGAGACAGAGACCAUUGC